rnacentral:sRNA from 1 species
GCCAGGUGCGGUGGCGCAUGCCUGUAAUCCCAGAGGCUCAGGAGGCUGAAUCAGGAGGAUCGCAAGUUCAAAGCCAGCCUCAGCAACAUUGAGGUGCUAAACAACUCAGUGAGACCCUGUCUCUA